CGGAGAGGGAGCCUGAGAGGGUGUACGGCCACAUUGGGACUGAGAUACGGCCCAGACUCCUACGGGAGGCAGCAGCUAAGAAUAUUCCGCAAUGGGCGCAAGCCUGACGGAGCGACGCCGCGUGGAGGAUGAAGGCUUUCGGGUUGUAAACUCCUUUUCUUAGGGAAGAAUAAAGUUGGCAGGAAAUGGUCGACCGAUGACGGUACCUAAGGAAUAAGCCCCGGCUAAUUACGUGCCAGCAGCCGCGGUAAUACGUAUGGGGCAAGCGUUGUUCGGAUUCACUGGGCGUAAAGGGCGUGUAGGCGGUGUGGUAAGUCGGAUGUGAAAUCUCUAGGCUCAACCUGGAAACUGCAUUCGAAACUGGCAUGCUUGAGUACCGGAGAGGGAAACGGAAUUCCUGGUGUAGGGGUGAAAUCUGUAGAUAUCAGGAAGAACACCGGUGGCGAAGGCGGUUUCCUGGCCGGAUACUGACGCUGAGGCGCGAAAGCUAGGGGAGCAAACAGGAUUAGAUACCCUGGUAGUCCUAGCUGUACACGUUGUGCACUAGGUGUAAGUGGUUUCAAUCCACUUGUGCCGUAGCUAACGCAUUAAGUGCACCGCCUGGGGAGUAUGCUCGCAAGGGUGAAACUCAAAGGAAUUGACGGGGGCCCGCACAAGCGGUGGAGCAUGUGGUUUAAUUCGAUGAUACGCGAAGAACCUUACCAGGGUUUGACAUGCAGUCGACGGGAGCAGAGAUGUUCCUUUC
rnacentral:rRNA from 1 species